rnacentral:misc_RNA from 1 species
GCAGCGCACACACCUCAUCGCCGGGCUUCCAGCGGGAGACAGAGCUGCCGACGGCGAUGACGGUGCCGGAGCACUCGAGGCCGGGGUAGGGGCUAGCGCCCUUGGGCGGCGGGUAGAGGCCCUUGCGCUGUUGGAGGUCGGCACGGUUGAGGGCGGCGGCGGCGAUCUUAAUGAGGACGUCGUUAUCGCCAACCGUCGGAUCGGCGACGUCUUGGAGCUGGAGGACUUCCGGGCCGCCGGGGGAUGUGAUGACGAUGGCCU